UCUUACAGAUGAGCAGCUAAAGUGGUUUCUUGAAAUGGAAUCUACUCCUGGUGAAAAUGCUGUGAA
rnacentral:pre_miRNA from 1 species